rnacentral:rRNA from 1 species
AUUGAACGCUGGCGGCAGGCCUAACACCUGCAAGUCGAACGAGUGGCGGACGGGUGAGUAAUGUCUGGGAAACUGCCUGAUGGAGGGGGAUCACUACUGGAAACGGUAGCUAAUACCGCAUACCAUCAGAUGUGCCCAGAUGGGAUGAGCUUGUGGGGGGGGUAACGGCGACCCAAGGCGACGAUCCCUAGCUGGUCUGAGAGGUGGCCCAGCCAGACUGGAACCGAGACACGGGCCAGACUCCUACGGGAGGCAGCAGUGGGGAAUAUUGCACAAUGGGCGCAAGCCUGAUGCAGCCAUGCCGCGGGUAUGAAGAAGGCCUUCGGGUUGUAAAGUACGUUCAGCGGGGAGGCGUUACCCGCAGAAGAAGCACCGGCUAACUCCGUGCCAGCAGCCGCGGUAAUUC